ACGGACAGAGCACACCGCAGGACACGGUUCCCGCUUGGAAGGGGGGUGGGGGACGGACAGAGCACACCGCAGGGCAGGUUUCCCGCUUGGAAGGGGGGGUGGGGGACGGACAGAGCACACCGCAGGGCAGGUUUCCCGCUUGGAAGGGGGGGUGGGGGACGGACAGAGCACACCGCAGGGCAGGUUUCCCGCUUGGAAGGGGGGGGUGGGGGACGGACAGAGCACACCGCAGGGCAGGUUUCCCGCUUGGAAGGGGGGGUGGGGGACGGACAGAGCACACCGCAGGGCAGGUUUCCCGCUUGGAAGGGGGGGUGGGGGACGGACAGAGCACACCGCAGGGCAGGUUUCCCGCUUGGAAGGGGGGUGGGGGACGGA